GGUUAUUCAUGGAUACCAUAAAAAGAGAUACAAAACUACAUCAAUGCUGUUGGCAUAAUACUCGCUUCUCUGCCUGAGAAAUGUUGGAAGGCAAAUGAUCCCCAUAGUGAGCCGCUGAUACCUAUGUGUCUUCAGUUGGUAAUUGCAUAGUUACUGCCGCGAGUGCGGUUCACAAUGCUCUUUGCCGCAUUCUUUUUGGCAUGGUCGUUUGUUGAACCAGCCCACAUAACAGACGCUCGUUUGGCAAGUUCUAUUUCCGUUGCUUGAUAAUGUGCGUGCGCUUUCCAGUACGGGAAGCAGUGAGAAGGUGGAUGGUGCUGCCUUGAGUAAAAAUUGUGAAGACUCGCUGGCCGCACUAAAAUCUCUGCAAGAAAUUAUGCAUGACAAUGCAGACAAAUUGGCGUCACUUGCUAACGAGGAAACAGCGGAAACAAAGAUGAGGAAUUUGCAGGAUUGCAUGGAAUAUUUGGCUAAAUACCGGCAUUGAAAGCACAAAGAUCACAACGAAAAACAACCAUGCCAAAGAGGAGUUUUAUGUGCCUAGUCAGGCAUUUUUAAUAGCGCUAACACAAAUUUUCUAGCACAUACAACUGCGGGGGGUGAUACAUCAUUGAAUUCGAAUGUCUUCACUGGGCGCUUGGCGGUUACUGCUUUACUACAUCGAUUCCAAUACGUUUUGAAGCGUUUCAAUGACGACGAACGGCUGAUGGGCGCCGUGCAAGGGUCACAGUAGUUCAUUCCGGGGUAUUGGUCGUAACUAUCAGUGAAGUGCACAGCUGCCAAAUGCGCAUUAAGUCAAUUAAAGAACCAGUUUGAUAACAAAGAAGGAUCAUACCACAACAUUACCGGCACCCUGACACUUAUUGAAUAAGUACCAAAUAAGUAAAUACAUAUCGUCACCUGAAAUGCAAAAAGACGUAACAAUAUCGUAAAUGAGAUUGAAAAAGUCGU